GAUGAAGAACGCAGCGAAAUGUGAUACGUAAUGUGAAUUGCAGAAUUCAGUGAAUCAUCGAGUCUUUGAACGCACAUUGCGCCCCCUGGUAUUCCGGGGGGCAUGCCUGUCCGAGCGUCAUUGUUGCCCUCAAGCACGGCUUGUGUGUUGGGCCUCCGUCCUCCUCCCGGGGGACGGGCCCGAAAGGCAGCGGCGGCACCGCGUCCGGUCCUCGAGCGUAUGGGGCUUCGUCACCCGCUCUUGUAGGCCCGGCCGGCGCUUGCCGACACAUCAAUCUUUUUUCCAGGUUGACCUCGGAUCAGGUAGGGAUACCCGCUGAACUUAAGCAUAUCAAUAAGCGGAGGA
rnacentral:misc_RNA from 1 species